CUCCUCCCAGUUUUGUGUCACCCAUGAAUUUACUGAGGGUGCGCUCUAUCCCAUCAUUCAGAUCAUUAACGAAGAUGUUAAAGAAGUCUGGACCCAGUACUGACCCCUGGGGUACCCUGCUUGUUACUGGCCUCCAACUAGACAUUGUGCCACUGACCACUGCCCUCUAGGUCUGUCUGUUCAGAAAGUUUUUGAUCCACCUCACUGUCUGCUCAUCCAGACCAUACUUCAACAUAUUCUUUACAAGGGUCUUAUGAGGGACAGUGUCAAGGCCUUACUGAAGGCUGUCCAGAUAGACAAUCACUGCCUUCCCCUCAUCCAUCAGGCUGGUCAUUUAUUAAAGAAGCUUAUCAGGUUGGUCAGGCAUGACUUCCCCUUGGUGAAUUCGUGCUGACUACUCCUCACAGUUUUCUUUUACUUCACGUGCCUCAAAAUGUUUUCCAGCAUUAGCUGUUUUAUUACCUUUCUAGGGAUUCAGGUGAGGUUGACCAACCUGUAGUUCCCUGGGUCCUCCUUCUUGCCCUUCUUGAAGAUAAGAGAGAUGUUUGCUUUCAUCUGGUCUUCAGGCAUCUCUCCCAGUUGUGAUGAUCAAACAAAGACAGAGUGGCCUCACAAUUGCAUCUGCCAACUCCCUCAGCACUCAUGGGUGCAUCACAUCAGGGCCCAUGGACUUACCAAUGUCCAGUUUGCUUAAGUCUUUCUUGAAUUGAAUUUAGGAAAUUUAAGGAAAAGGAGUUUUUCUAAAAGCCUCUGUGCUAUCAAACUCUGAGGGCGAAAGGAUCCUUAAAUCCUUAAGACAGGGUGCAGCCUCACAUACUUCCCUAUUCUGGAAUUUUCAAAUAUCUGUGACCAUGGAAAGAAUAUCUUUGUUAUCAGUAUCUGGUUCCUCUUUCAGGAUUUCGGCCAGAAGAUGAAACGACCCAUUUGUGAGUGUUGGUCCAGAUCCCAGGAAGCCAUCUGCUUGGAAGACAAAGGCCUCCCAAAGUGCAUUAACCUGGUAUUUAUCUCCACUCCACAAUGUCCUGCAGACUGAUAUUUGCAGAGGGAGGAGAACAAGGACAGUGUGCGUCCUUGGUUUCCAGACCCCGGAGAUCACUGACCCAAAUAACCUCUCCCUAAGUUGACAGGGAAUGCCAAAUAGAGCUGUGUUGUGGCUAAAUGCUCAAAUGGUGGGGUAGGAGGAGGCAGACUUCUUUGGACAGUAGACUUGCCAAUAAACUCAAAAAAUGAUGAGCAGAAGAAAUCUGGGUAGUCAUGAACCUCAAGACUUCAGAGGCCAGUAGCUGGAGGGGAGAGAGAAAUGCACCUCUGAGUACUCCAUGAUUUUGAGAAGUAUUCAGCUGGCAAAAGCAUGAAGAAUAAUAUAAGACCUAUAAUAAAAAA